GCUAGUUGUACGAGUUUAGACUCGUAGCAGAUAGCUCAGUAACACGUGGCCAAACUACCCUAUGGACCCAGACAACCUCGGGAAACUGAGGCUAAUCUGGGAUACGAUUCUCCCGCUGGAACUGCAGAGAAUCCGAAAUGCUCCGGCGCCAUAGGAUGUGGCUGCGGCCGAUUAGGUAGACGGUGGGGUAACGGCCCACCGUGCCGAUAAUCGGUACGGGUUGUGAGAGCAAGAGCCCGGAGACGGUAUCUGAGACAAGAUACCGGGCCCUACGGGGCGCAGCAGGCGCGAAACCUUUACACUGCACGCCAGUGCGAUAAGGGGACUCCGAGUGCGAGGGCAUAUAGUCCUCGCUUUUCACCACCGUAAGGUGGUGGUGGAAUAAGUGCUGGGCAAGACCGGUGCCAGCCGCCGCGGUAAUACCGGCAGCACGAGUGAUGACCGCUAUUAUUGGGCCUAAAGCGUCCGUAGCUGGCCGCGCAAGUCUAUCGGGAAAUCUGCUCGCCUAACGAGCAGGCGUCCGGUGGAAACUGUGUGGCUUGGGACCGGAAGACCAGAGGGGUACGUCCGGNGUAGGAGUGAAAUCCCGUAAUCCUGGACGGACCACCGGUGGCGAAAGCGCCUCUGGAGGACGGAUCCGACGGUGAGGGACGAAAGCUCGGGUCACGAACCGGAUUAGAUACCCGGGUAGUCCGAGCUGUAAACGAUGUCUGCU
rnacentral:rRNA from 1 species